rnacentral:ncRNA from 1 species
AAAAAAAAAAACAAUCAGAUACUGUUGUAGUCUUAACAGUAAACGAUGCCGACUAGGGAUCGGGCGACCUCUUUUUGAUGUGUUGCUCAGCACCUUACGAGAAAUCAAAGUCUUUGGGU